AAUCAGGUGUGUCCACACUUUGAUCUUUAUCUUGGAGAUUCUUUUACAUUAUGAAUUCUAGAACAGUGGUAAGUGGUAGCUUCUACAAACAGAAAUUUACUGCCAAUGAAAUUAAAUGUGUGGCUACAACAUCAAACAACCAGAAUUUAAGAAUUAUUACAGAACAGAAUAAAGUGAGGGUCUGAAGAAUUAUCCAUAAAGCAUGAUCCUUUCAGAACGCUGGGCUUUAACUGAACACAUAGCUACCCAACUAAAGCAUCUUUUGCAGCUAGAAAUGGCCAUGUGAUCAAGUUUGGAGGAACUAGAGGGGUUGGCAAGUGAUGAGUGUGACUUUGGACCACCUCCUUGAAGAUGCAGCUGCUUCCCAGGACUUCUUUCCCACUUCCCACAGGCUGGAGAGUGGGCACCCAGGCUUUAGUCACAACCACCAAGAUGACCCUGUGGGGAGGUGACAGGGAGAGAAGAUGGACCUCUUGGAGAGGAGCAGCCACUUCUCCAGCUAUGGACUGCUGACAUAAGUACUAUUUAGAGAGAGGAAAAUAAACUAUCCCGUGUAAGUCAGCCCAUAUUUGAGUGUCUUUGUAUAAUAGUUUAGCCUGUAUUCUAAUUAGUACAAAUAAUUAUUAUUGUGUCCUCUUUAUUCAUUCAACAUAUAUAUAAAUAUUAACAGAGCUUAGAUUUCAGUAAUAUGUCGACAUGAAAUAAAGUAAAUAAAAAAUUGCAACUUGGUUAUGAACUCUGAGGGGGAUGAAUGUGGU
rnacentral:lncRNA from 1 species